UAGUUCAAUGGGUCAUUUCUGUUUACCUCAAGGAAUGUGGCCCUUGAUCC
rnacentral:lncRNA from 1 species